rnacentral:rRNA from 1 species
AGAGUUUGAUCCUGGCUCAGGAUGAAUGCUAGCGGCAGGCUUAACACAUGCAAGUCGAGGGGCAGCGGGGAGGAAGCUUGCUUUCUCCGCCGGCGACCGGCGCACGGGUGAGUAACAUGUAUGCAACCUGCCCCUGUCAGGGGGACAACCCGCCGAAAGGCGGGCUAAACCCGCGUACAUGCCACCGGGGCAUCCCGGAGGCAGGAAAGGCUUCGGCCGGACAGGGAUGGGCAUGCGGCGCAUUAGGCAGUAGGCGGGGUAACGGCCCACCUAACCGACGAUGCGUAGGGGUUCUGAGAGGAAGGUCCCCCACACUGGUACUGAGACACGGACCAGACUCCUACGGGAGGCAGCAGUGAGGAAUAUUGGUCAAUGGUCGGGAGACUGAACCAGCCAAGCCGCGUGAGGGAGGAAGGUACAGAGUAUCGUAAACCUCUUUUGUCAGGGAACAAAGGCGGGGACGUGUCCCCGGAUGAGUGUACCUGAAGAAAAAGCAUCGGCUAACUCCGUGUCAGCAGCCGCGGUAAUACGGAGGAUGCGAGCGUUAUCCGGAUUUAUUGGGUUUAAAGGGUGCGCAGGCGGUCUGUUAAGUCAGCGGUCAAAGCCCGGGGCUCAACCCCGGCCCGCCGUUGAAACUGGCAGUCUCGAGUUGGAGAGAAGUAUGCGGAAUGCGCGGUGUAGCGGUGAAAUGCAUAGAUAUCGCGCAGAACUCCGAUUGCGAAGGCAGCAUGCCGGCUCCACACUGACGCUGAGGCACGAAAGCGUGGGUAUCGAACAGGAUUAGAUACCCUGGUAGUCCACGCAGUAAACGAUGAAUGCUGGCUGUCCGGGGGGACUGACCCCUGGGUGGCGAAGCGAAAGCGAUAAGCAUUCCACCUGGGGAGUACGCCGGCAACGGUGAAACUCAAAGGAAUUGACGGGGGCCCGCACAAGCGGAGGAACAUGUGGUUUAAUUCGAUGAUACGCGAGGAACCUUACCCGGGCUCAAACGGGGAGUGGCGCAGGCAGAGACGCCUGUUUCCCACGGGACACUCCCCGAGGUGCUGCAUGGUUGUCGUCAGCUCGUGCCGUGAGGUGUCGGCUUAAGUGCCAUAACGAGCGCAACCCCCGCGUGCAGUUGCUAACAGUCAACGCUGAGGACUCUGCACGGACUGCCGGCGCAAGCCGCGAGGAAGGCGGGGAUGACGUCAAAUCAGCACGGCCCUUACGUCCGGGGCGACACACGUGUUACAAUGGGUGGUACAGCGGGAAGCCAGGCGGCGACGCCGAGCGGAACCCGAAAUCCACUCUCAGUUCGGAUCGGAGUCUGCAACCCGACUCCGUGAAGCUGGAUUCGCUAGUAAUCGCGCAUCAGCCAUGGCGCGGUGAAUACGUUCCCGGGCCUUGCACUCACCGCCCGUCA